rnacentral:rRNA from 1 species
GACGAACGCUGGCGGCGUGCUUAACACAUGCAAGUCGAACGGAAAGGCCCUGCUUUUGUGGGGUGCUCGAGUGGCGAACGGGUGAGUAACACGUGAGUAACCUGCCCUUGACUUUGGGAUAACUUCAGGAAACUGGGGCUAAUACCGGAUAGGAGCUCCUGCUGCAUGGUGGGGGUUGGAAAGUUUCGGCGGUUGGGGAUGGACUCGCGGCUUAUCAGCUUGUUGGUGGGGUAGUGGCUUACCGAGGCUUUGACGGGUAGCCGGCCUGAGAGGGUGACCGGCCACAUUGGGACUGAGAUACGGCCCAGACUCCUACGGGAGGCAGCAGUGGGGAAUAUUGCACAAUGGGCGGAAGCCUGAUGCAGCAACGCCGCGUGCGGGAUGACGGCCUUCGGGUUGUAAACCGCUUUCGCCUGUGACGAAGCGUGAGUGACGGUAAUGGGUAAAGAAGCACCGGCUAACUACAUG